rnacentral:lncRNA from 1 species
UCAUUGCCAAGUAUAAGCUGCUGCUACAGUAUAAACCAAAGCAUGUGUACUUGCUUAGAGCCGCUAAAGUCUACAGGUGCUUUGCCUCUAUCAGUUUGAGAACUGAGAUACGAUUCCAUAUUUCCAUGCCGCAGAAAGAUGUACUUUCCAUACCGGAGGUAACUUCGGUAGCACUGCAUUCGAGAUCCGCAUGGACUUUCAUCGCUUACGUCUGAACACGUGAGAACGAACGAUUCAGGUGUCAAAGAUGGACUGCUAGUAGUAAAAAAAAUGACUGCCGGUAAAAUGAAGGUUUUCGACAGAGGCCCUCGAGCUGAGAGCUGUAAAAAGAAAGGAAGCGUCCGAUCGCAGAUGUCAAUCCAUCACACCAGCAAUAACCCGGCCGCUACUCGCCAAAAAAAAAAACAAUAUCCCGGCCGCGCAGGACUGCCCGACAACGCGGCACCGGCAAGUACGGCACGAGCGUGAAAAAUAGGCAAACGCCGCGCUGUACCGAAGCGUUCUCUUCCCCCCGGCAGCCUCCAUUUGGCUCCCGACCCCGGCCGGACCGGUAGCCUUUGGAUUCUUCCAAAGCCAUUGAUGCAUGGGGCCGUGACAAACAUCCACUAUCUU